rnacentral:lncRNA from 13 species
AGAUUUAGAACAUUUAUACCAGAUCUGUUAUGAUGAAUAUAAAAAGUUCAAAUCGCGCAGUGAAUAUAAUAAAAAUAAUAAAAAAUCGAUUUCAUCGAUUGAUUUCAAACAAGAACUUGAAAGAAAUAAUACAGAUGCACUCACAAACAACAAGACACAGAAAAAAUCGACGUGGCAACAGCAAAAGAUUUUAUUUGCACGAGCUUUAAUCUGCAUCAAGCGAGAUAAUACCUUUACGAAACUAAGAAUUGCGACGCACAUCGUGGUU